rnacentral:lncRNA from 10 species
GGAGCUCAAGCUCAUGGUGCCCGGCACGUGAUUCUCAGUUCCUUGAGAACAGAUACAGAAUCAUAUGCAUCUUUGUUUCCUCAACACCGGCCAUAGGACCAAGUACAUGUUAAGGGAGAGUUGUCAUCAUCAGGGCAGUUUUAAUUGGCUCCAGUUCAGUCUUGUUGAACUGAAAUGGAAUUGGAACUGUGCCAGCCUCACUGGAAUUGGACCCCAUAUUCUCUUCUGUCUCUAAAGAAGCUUUGGCCUUACCUGAAGCUGACUCUCAAGCCAAUGGAAGAUAGUGAAGUGUGAUUGCAUGAAUUCUUGGAAUCAGCACGUCAUAAGGAACAAGAAGAAAAAUAUCAGGAAACAGGGGAAACAGCACCCUAAGAUUUUGGGGGGAUCAUUUCAUAGGCUUCCUGCAGGAGCAUGCUAAAUCCUGGUUAGUCUUGUUCCUGGAUUUUACUUGAAUAGAUGAUCACUUUUAAAUCUGCCACUUGAACUUUUAGCUGUGCAGUGCUUAGGAUUUAAUAAGUGUAUGAUUUAAUAAGUGUAUUUCUUUUUUUCCCUCUUCUAUACUUAACAAACUCUUCUUUUCUUUUCUUUUUUCUUUUCUUUUCUUUUUUUUUUUUUUUUUUGAGAUGGAGUCUUGCUCUGUUGCCCAGGCUGGAGUGCAGUGGCACAAUCUCAGCCUCAGCUCACUGCAACCUCUGCCUCCUGGGUUCAAGCGAUUCUCCUGCCUCAGCCUCCUGAGUAGCUGGGAUUACAGGUGCUUGCCACCACGCCCAGCUAAUUUUUUUGCUUUUUUAGUAGAGAUGGGGUUUCACCACCUUGGCCAGGCUGGUCUUGAACUCCUGACCUCAUGAUCCACCCGCCUCAGCCUCCCAAAAGGCUGGGAUUACAGGCGUGAGCCACCGCGCCAGCCCAAGCUCUUCUUUUCUUGCAUCAAAGGCUGAUGGAGUCAUUGCACACAGAGGAACCAUGGCUGCUGAGGCUCUUUAGCAUAUUUUCCAAUUUGGUCAACUGAGAUGGUGGUGCCUGACCAUCACCACCACCAAAGACCUCCAGUCUUGAAAAGUGUAUGAUUUAAUAAGCAAUUGCAAGCAAGGAAAAAACUAUCUCAGUGUUUAUGACCAAAAAAGUAAAUAAAGUUAGUUUAAUACUUGAUAUUCAUAUGCUGGGUGCAGGGUGCCAGAAAUCUAUUGGACAGUUUCAGAUGGGAAGAGCUGAGAAAAAAAGAAAGUCUCUGGUGUGGGGAGUUACCUUUUCUCCCAAGAAGAGAAUGUCUAUACACUGGGAAUCCGAAGUUAGUGGAACCUCUCCAUUGGAAGCGUGGAAGCAGAUUCCUUUCUCUCUCCUUCUUUCUACCCACUGUCCACUAGGUACUGGGGGAAUACAAAAAAUAAAGUCACGGUCCUUGCCUUGAAAAAUCCUACAAUUACUUGAAGAAAGAUGGAAGCCCACACAUACGUGUGAAAAGACAUGAAAGUAUCCGCAAAGCAAGAUGUCGAGGGCUGGGAAACGCUUUUCCUUGCAAUGUGGAAGAAGUGUCCUGGGUGUUAGGAGACCCAGGAUCUGAUUCCAGCUAGGGGUCCUUGAAAAGUUCCAAAUCUCCUUGGGCUUUCAUUUUCUCAUGUGUGAAAAUGGGCAAUAUGAAAAGUUAAAAAACAAACAUCAUGAUUCAGUAAGUGUUGCCAACGACACACUUCUUGUGUCAUUGGCAACACUUGGCUUUACGUAUCUCUAUGAGGUACAUUUCUAAAACUCAGAUAGCUACUAAAACCUAAAUUAACGAUAGGCCCAGAUACUGAAUUGCUAUGUUGAAAUAAUAUUUUAAAAUAAUAAUAAUAAUAAACUUUCAAUUAUACAACUUACACUACAAUUUGGUCUUGUACAGAUAAUAAUUAAAAGUAUUAUUAAAAUAUCAUUUUUUCAGUUUUCUCUCAUCUUUUAAAAUCC